rnacentral:rRNA from 1 species
AAUGAACGCUGGCGGCAGGCCUAACACAUGCAAGUCGAACGGAUCCUUCGGGAUUAGUGGCGGACGGGUGAGUAACGCGUGGGAACAUACCCUUUGGUACGGAAUAGCCUCGGGAAACUGGGAGUAAUACCGUAUGUGGUCGAGAGACGAAAGAUUUAUCGCCAAAGGAUUGGCCCGCGUUGGAUUGGGUAGUUGGUGGGGUAAUGGCCUACCAAGCCGACGAUCCAUAGCUGGUUUGAGAGGAUGAUCAGCCACACUGGGACUGAGACACGGCCCAGACUCCUACGGGAGGCAGCAGUGGGGAAUCUUAGACAAUGGGGGAAACCCUGAUCUAGCCAUGCCGCGUGAUCGGUGAAGGCCUUAGGGUUGUAAAGAUCUUUCAGGUGGGAAGAUAAUGACUGUACCACCAGAAGAAGCCCCGGCUAACUCCGUGCCAGCCGCCGCAGUAA